CCACUACCAGUGUCACCUAAAACCACAUCAUCAUCCACACCUCCUAGUGAGACCCCAAAGCCCAGAUUCCGUCGUACAAAAAUGAUAGCAAGAAAAGUUGUUGCGACUAGUCCCUUGAGGAAGGCUCUAAACGAAAGAUUGAAGUCAAGUCAAAAGAAAGAAACUACAGCAAAAGAAACUGAUUCCAGUUCUGAGUUUGAUGAUUACAUCUAUACUAGUGAAGGAGAUGAACCUGGGCCUUAUGACAAUGUCACUCAACAAGAAACCCCAAAAGAGGUAAAUCCAAGUAUUGUUUCUGAUGACUUAGGGGAAAAUGGUAGAAAAUAGGUAUGUCCUGAUAGGGGGCUGCUAAAGAUGUUGAUAUGGGUGAUUAUGUGAAAUUGAAGAAAAAUAAUAGGAAGAAGGUGCUAGCUAUAUGUGGGAGUGGGGAAGAAGGGGCCUCGAAAUCAGGGGAAGUGAGUCUAGAGAGGCUGCUGAAGGGUUAGUUGGUUUGUGCAAACAAACUGUUGAACCUGGUCUAUCUGCAGAGGAAACUCUAUUUGAGAUGAUGAAGAAGGUUGGGGCCAGUUAUGAUCCCAAGAAACGCAAGGCUUCCUCACAAAGGACCCCUGUUGCGUCCAAACCAACCAAGAAAUCCAAACCCUCAACACCUUUAUGAUCCCAAGAAAUGCAGGCUUCCUCACAAAGGACCCUUGUUAGGUCCAAACCAACCAAGAAAUCCAAACCUUCAACACCCAAGUCUGUUCCUAGGGUUAGCAACUAGAAGCAAGGUUAGGGAGAGUGAAGCUGGGUUGCAGAAAACUUUAGAGGAGAGUAAGGGAAAAAGAAAAGAAAAAGGGAAGAUAGGUGAGAGUUCAGAAGUUCCAGCUGAAAGAAUGAAGAGGAGAUGGAACUGGUCCAUCAAGAAAGAAAUACUACUGUGCAGGUUCUGUUGGAAAUAAUGUAUAUCUAUGAUAUGUGCGCUUUGGGUGUAUGAGCAUGAUUUUCAGGUAUAGGUUUUGAUGAAUGACAAACAAUGAAGUCAAGUGUCAAACAACGAUAUANNNN
rnacentral:lncRNA from 1 species